UGGGGAAUAUUGCACAAUGGGCGAAAGCCUGAUGCAGCAACGCCGCGUGAGUGAUGAAGGCCUUCGGGUUGUAAAGCUCUGUCUUUUGGGACGAUAAUGACGGUACCAAAGGAGGAAGCCACGGCUAACUACGUGCCAGCAGCCGCGGUAAUACGUAGGUGGCAAGCGUUGUCCGGAUUUACUGGGCGUAAAGGAUGCGUAGGCGGAUUUUUAAGUGAGAUGUGAAAUACCCGGGCUUAACUUGGGUGCUGCAUUUCAAACUGGGAAUCUAGAGUGCGGGAGAGGAGAAUGGAAUUCCUAGUGUAGCGGUGAAAUGCGUAGAGAUUAGGAAGAACACCAGUGACAGGAGGCUGAUUCUCUGGACCGUAACUGACGCUGAGGCAUGAAAGCGUGGGUAGCAAACAGGAUUAGAUACCCUGGUAGUCCACGCCGUAAACGAUGAGUACUAGGUGUAGGAGGUAUCGACCCCUUCUGUGCCGCAGUUAACACAAUAAGUACUCCGCCUGGGAAGUACGAUCGCAAGAUU
rnacentral:rRNA from 1 species